CUCAUAUUUGAGCGAGGAGAAAUGGGAAGUUUUCUCUUUUUCCCCUUGGCUCCUGCUCCAGCGCCACGAUGUGAUCCACUGACAAGGAGGGAUGCCAAUAAGGUGUCUGAUAAGAUAAGUCUUAUAAAAUAUAUGUUUAUGAUAAUUGAGACUGAGCUAACAGAUGAGGAAUCCUAGUCAUUGGCCAAGCAGCUUUGUACCUAAUACAAGUUUCUGUGUAAUCAUUUGGGCCCUAACUCGGGUUGGCGGCUGGCGUAAAGCUCACACGUGGCGGUAGGGCUCAGGCAGCUUAUGGUAGAAAGAUUUAUUGUAACAGAAUGGUGUCAGAAGUGGGAUGACUCCAUGCCCCAAGGUUUCCAGAGAAAGAAGUAAACCUGCCGCCACAGCCUGCCCUGUCCGGCCACUGAGAGGCAUCAGAGCAGCUUCCAUAUGCUCGCACCAUCCCAGAGCUUCUGGGGUUUAGACUCGGCACUCCCAAGAUGAUAAAGACAGAUCCAGAUAAAGAAAAACCUCUAAAGGUUUACACUAUAUUAAAAAAUAUAUGUAGGCUUGUGAGAGAAAACAUAACAGGAAAAAAUAGAUUAGCCAGUUGUGGUGGCACACACCUGUAGGAUUUGCUGAAGGAAGCAGAGGCAGGCGGAUUUCCUCAGAGGAACCCUGUCUCAAAAAGAAAAAAAAAGAAAGUAAAAGUAAAGUAAUAAAAAAGCCACAUAAAGAUAAAAAAUACAGAGAGAAUCUGGAUACUAUAUGCCAUAUUGUUGUCUUUAAAUUGUUUGAUUGCCGAGGAAAGACUUAUUGCUGCUAAAAUACAUUUGAUUAUAAAUGCUACUAAAUUAAUCCAACUUAUACAUUUUAAAAAUGCUCUAACUUCAAAAUUUAAGUUUAAGGACAGGCUACUUAGAAAUAAAGGUUUUGCUUUUAUUUCCACAGAAAAUAAAAAGCUAUGGAUUCCUUCCAGACUAUUAUGGUUUGAUCAAACAAGACCCCCUAAAGCUAAGACGAUACAGCCUUACUGACUACAAAAACAAAGACUUGGUCAGGUUUCUAUGUUUUAUCAUGAUCCCCAUGGUAUAUGAACAUUGCCCCCAAUCAGCAGGAAACAGUUUAGAAAGAACGACGCCCAUAUUCCCAAAUAUUGUUUAUAAAUGUUUAUUUUCAUUUAAAUGGGGUUAGUUAUAAAUGAUAAUGAGCAUAGUCAAUUUUUUUAAAGAAAAAAGGGGAAUAGGAUAUAGGAAUGAAUACUUUACAUUGGUAUAGAUUUUCAUUUAUCGAUACAACUUUAAGGUCAAUUUUGUGAUAUGUAUAUGUCUCCUCUUAUUUAGGUAUUGUGUUUAUACAGAUCUUUUACCUAUAAUAGUCAGAACUUAUAAUUAGGUUAGUUAGGUUUUCUAGAUUUACAGAGAUGUAUUUGAGAUGGAUAGGUAUUCUUCAAACCUUUCAAAGACCUACAGAAAAAGGCAUUUAAAUGGUUUAGGACUUUUCUUGGCAGUGAGACACAACUGCUCCUGGCACACCAAUUAUGUCAAAAAGGAGGAUGGGCAUCGAAGAAACUCAUUAUGGAGUUUGCUUUCAACAUGGCAAGAUUAGCCAUUUGGGCAAGAAACUGCUCUUGCCUGGACUGUUUGUUGCUGCAUAAACUAGACAUACAGGACCCACAAGAAAGUGACUGCUGAACUUACAAAACAAGACAGUACUGAAGGGUUCCUGUUAAAAUGGAGAAGUGUGCCAGACACAAUGUGGCCUAUAGGCUGAAGAUGGAUGCCCCAACGUUACAGAGGAACUUUGGGUGACGGUCCAGGCAAACGGAUGGAACUAGAAGAAACCAUCCUGAGUGAGGUGACCCAGUCAAAAACAGACAAACAUGAGCCCUCAUCCAGUGGCUGAUGGAAGCAGAGGCAGACACCCACAGCUAAACACCAUGCUUAACUCUGGAACCCAAAGGCACAGAGGAAGGAGUGAAGAGCAACAAGGUCAAGACCAGGCUGGUGAAACCCACAGAAACAGCUAACCUGAACAAGGAGGAGUGCGUGGACCCCAGACUGAUGUCAGGGAGGCCAGCACAGAACUUAUACAGACCCCUGAAUUGUGGAUGUAAAUGAGGAGGCCUCGGCAUUCUAUGGGACCUCUGGCAGAAGGAAUCUCUGAAGACACCCACUCUACUGGAGGCCAUGCUGGUAUUAAGAACCCCAGGUAACUGGAACCCCAGAGACCACACCAGUAUGCAGAACCCCAGAGGCCCUACCAGUUCUCAGAACCCCAGAAGCAAAUAGAGCACCCAAAUCCCCAGAGGCCUUGUAGACCACCAAAAAUCCAGCAGAGACACACUAUUUGACCUGAAGAUUUUCUGGUCACCAGAACCACAGGCCACUCAGGCCAGAAAACCAGAGAGGAAAUAGAAAGCAAGGGGGAGGGGGGAAACAUUCACAAAGCAUCCAUCCAACAAAGAUAAACUCAGAAACAUGCAUCUAAACUACUAAUAACCCCAAACCCAGAUGACUAGAGGCCGGCAUAAGAACACAGUGAGCAAUACCCAGAGGAAUAUGGCACCACUGGGUAUACUACUAGAGCAAGCCGUGGAUAUUCCAGCACAGUGGAAGCACAAAAAAUGACCUUAAAUACAAUCUUAUGAAGAUGACAGAGACCCUUAAAGAGGAAAUUAGUAAAUCCCUUAAAGAAAUCCAAGUAAACACAAACAAACAGAUGAAGGAAGCAAGUAAAACUCUUGAAAACCUGAAAUGGAAACAGAAACAAUAAAGAAAACACAAACUGAGGGAAUCCUGGAGAUGGAAAAGAAUAGGUAGGUGAGCAGUAACUAUAGAUGCAAGUAUCACCAACAGAAUAUAAGAGAUGGGAGAGAGAAUCUCAGGCAUAGAAGAUACAAUAAAAGAAAUUGAUAUAUAAGUCAAAGAAAAUGUAAAAAUCUAAAAAAAAAAAAUCCUGAAACAAAACAUCCAGGAGCUCUGGGACACUAUGAAGAGACCAAACUUAAGCUAAUGGAAGAAAUAGAAGAAUCCCAGCUCAAAGGACCAGAAAAUAUUUUCAACAAAAUCAUAGAAGAAAACUGUCUUAACCUAAAAAGGGACAUGCCUAUAAAGGUACAAGAAAUUUAUAGAACACCAAAUAGAUUGGACCUGAAAAAGUCCCCCUACAACAUAAUAAUCAAAACACUAAAAAUACAGAAUAAGGAAAAUUAAAAGCUGCAAGAGAAAAUGGCCAAAUAAUAUAUAAAGUAGACCUGUUAGGGUAACACAUGACUUCUCAAUAGAGACACUAAAAGCCAGAAGGGCCUGGACAGAUGUCUUGCAGAAUCUAAGAAACCACAGAUCCCAGCCCAGAUUACUAUAUCCAGCAAAACUUUCAAUCACUAUAGAUGGAGAAAACAAUAUAUUGAUGUGGGAUGUCCUUCUGUAUGCUGCAAAUAUAUAUUGCCUUUAUUGGUUGAUGAAUAAAUUUGAUUUGGCCUAAGACAGGCCAGAAUAUAGCUAGGUGGGAAAUCCAAGCAGAUAUAUAGGGAGAAAGAAGGGAAAGUUGAGAAAAGAAGUCAGCAGCUACAGAAGAAGCAAGACAUGUAGAAAAUGAGAUAACACCACAGUCAUGUGGCAAUACAUAGAUUAAUAUAAAUGGAUUGAUUUGUAUAUAAGAGCUAGCUAGUAAUAACCCUGAGCCAUCUGCCAAAUAAUUAUAAUAUUAAGACUCCUAGUAAUUAUUUUAUAAAUGGCUGCAGGAAUGGCACCUGCGACAGAAAAGCUCUGCCUAUAAAAUAUUCCAUGACAAAGUCAGAUUUAAACAAUAUCUAUCCACAAAUCCAGUCCUACAGAAGGUGAUAGAAGUAUACCUAUGAAAACACAGGAAAUAAUCUCAUACCAGCAAAUGGAAUGGAUGCAAAAACUUAAUCCUGUAUAUGAUAUGUGCUGGGAUAAGGGUGCUACAGAGAUUGUUGGAGUGGCCAACAAAUGACUUGUCUAGCCUGAGACCCAUGCCAAGAAAAUGAGCUUACCCCUGAUACUUCCUGGUGUACCAGGACUCAGAGGCUGGAUGCUCCAGAGAUCUAAGAAAUAAAAACUACUGGUGAAAAAAAUUACAGUGCAAUGAUGCCUAAUGAUAUUCUGCUAUACUUAUAGAUUUGUGCCUAGCCCAUGUGUCUUCAGAGAGACUUCAUCCAGAAACUGAUGGAAAUAGAGGUGGAGACCCACAGUCAAACAUUAGGUCGAGCGCAGGAAAUCCUAUGGAAGAGGUGGAAGAUGGAUUGUAGGAGCUAAUGCUGUCAAGAACAUCACAAGAAAACCCACAGAAUCAACUAACCUGGGAUCAUAGGAGCUCAUAGAGACUGAAUCCAUAACCAGAGAUCUGCAUGGGCCAGAGCUAGGCCCUCUGCAUAUAUGUGACAGUUGUAUAGCUUGGUCUCUUGUAGGAUUGCUAACAGUGAAAACAGGAGCUAUACUUAAUGCUUUGGUUGGCUUUUGGGAUCCUAUUCCUCAUACUGGGUUGCCUUAUACAGCCUUAAUACAAGGGGAGGUGCUUAGUCUUACUGCAACUUGGCACACCAAACUUUUCUGACAUCCAUUGGAGGCCUGCCCUUUUUGAGUAGAAACAGAGGAGGACUGAAUGGGAGAGGGGCAGAGGGGAGUUUUAUGGUAGGGACUGGUAGGAGAGGAGGGAGGGGAAACUGAGGUUGGGAUGUAAAAUAAAGGAAUGAAUUAGCUAAAAACUUGUUUGAAGUGACACUAGCCCACUGAAGCAUGUGGCUGUGGCAGGCCUUGCUCUUCUCUCCCAAUUCCUUCUGCCUUGCUAAAAAACAAACAAACAAAACAAAACAAAAAGUUAGAUUAUAUCCCUAAAGUUAGCCACCAAGGUCUAUUCCCUUAUUUGGCCACUACCUCCUCCUGAGGUUGACUACCAAAGUCCAGCAAUCGGAAUCCCCCUUCUUACCUAAGUAACAUGCCCAAUUAAAACUAAACACCUCAUCCUAACUGAGGGUUUCCUAUGUGCCUAUGUGCCAUAUCUGUCUCCUCUGUUAUCCACAGGCAGUCCUUUGUCCCUCAUGGAACAAAUAGCUCUGUCCUCUUUCUGUUGUCCCCUUCCCCUCUCCCUCUCCCCUGUGUUUUUACCACCACUUCCGAGCCCAUUUUCACACAGACCUCCCCUUUUCCCCCUCUUGAGAAUUACACUGCAAGGCCAUUUGCUGCUAUUUUCUGCCUGAGUCAGAAAGCAGCCACUUUUGCUUUGCUUCACCACUUAAAGGAUCUCUCUGUGAAAACGGGUGUUUUGGCUGUGGUUUGUGCCUAACCCGGGGUCCAAGAAGGAGGCUCUGCUGUGUGGGAGUCCCUUUCAGAGUUGCCAUGGUAAUAUUGUCUCUUCACAGCAAUAAAACAGUGACCAAGACACUCAUGAUCCUCCUGCUCUACCUUCAUGAGUCCUGGGAUUACAAGUAUGUACAGACUCAGUUGUAACUUUACAUUCUAAGCCUCACAAUGUAUCCACAUGGCCUCUAGUCAACUAGACCUAUUCAGAUAUGGAAAGUCCUUGGCUUCAGAAUCAUUUGCCUUGUUUUAUGCCCUAAAGCAUCACUAUCCUGACUACUGCAUAAUUUAUUUUUAAAUCAAUAACAGCUGUGUUGUCAACAAUAUACACCUAUCUGUAAUCACAUCUUUAAUAGUUUACAGCAGGAAAGAGUUUCCAAUCUUAUGAACAACUAAAUAUCUUUUUAGAAACUCUUCAGGAAUAAUUAUCCAAAUUAAACUUACUUUGACCAUUUUCAUGCAGAAUCAACAAUUACAUGUAAGAUGAACACACACAUACACACACUCACUCACACACACUCACACACUCAUUUCCACUAAUAGUCACUGACUAUAUAUAGCUUUCAUCUUCUGCUGUAUACUUGUGUACUUACUGGGUUCCUUUGAAACUAAGGAGCCAGAGAGGUUGGUACGCUCCUGUAUUCCCAUAACUGUAGAGGUUGAGACAGAAGGAUCCCAAGUUUCAGGCCAGCACAUACUACAUGGUGAGUUCUAAGCCACCCCUAGGUUACUAGAGGUUACUAGUUAGACCUGACCUUGUUUAUGAAAACAAAGCAAAAAAAAAACAUAAUUGAUGCUUCCUUCAUUGCUUUACUUUUCUUGGUAUCUGGAAACGACUGUUACAAAUAUUAAAUUCACAUAUAUAAAUUGUCAGUUUACCCUGUACAGACUUUUACUUUGGAAAAUAUAGUAUAAUUUUUGUGUUGAAUUAUUGUUUUCUUGUUGUAUAAUUUUUUAUUUUUAUUUUUUUCUACUUUUGAUUUUGAGACUGACUUUCAUUAUGUGCUCUGGCUGACCUGGAACUCACUAUGUAGACCAGACUAGCCUUGAACGUACAAUUUUGUUUUCUGAGUACUGGAAUUAAAAGGCUCAUGCUACUAUGACUCACGUAUUUUUCUAUUUUUAUUAAACAAUUACAUAUUUGUAGUUAAACAAGUCAGUUCUUCAAAAUCCUGGGCAAGCUUUUUGAAAUUCUUAACAAGUAAUCUUACUUUCUAAAAGUCUUGUCCAUAUAUGUUCAAGUAAUAAGAGGAGGCUAAAAUCUCAUAGCUGAUAGCUGUGUCAUAUAUGUGUGUAUUUUAAGGCAGUCAUUUUUAUUCUCAUAUCUCUACAAAAACACUUAGGUUGAGACAUGCUAAAUGUCUCUGUAAGACUAAGCAGCUAACAAAUUGCAAAACCAGGAAUUUAACUCAGGAUUAUAACCAGUUUAAAAUGAGAAAGCUUUUAUUGCCUUCAUUAUGCUGUAAUGCUUCACAAUCUAUGAUUACUAUACAAGAGUUUAAAUAUUUAGAAUGAAUUUCACAGAAGCAUAUCAAUUCCUUUCCAGGUGUUUUGCAUUAACCUUAUGCACAGUCAUCUUUUAUUCAUUAUUUGAUUCAACAAAUAUUUAUCAAGUGCCUAAUAUAUACCAGUCAUUUCUCAAGGAGCUAUAUGGUGGCAAUCCAAAGUCUCUAUUCUUACUGACUUCUAAUAGAAAAGGUAGAAAUAACACAAAAACAUAAAAGAUAAUAUGGCAUAAGGUAACUAAAAAAAAAAAGAAGUCACAGUUUCAGUGUGUUAAGUGCUAUGUGGGGUCAAAUUAGGAUCUAUAAAUAACUAUGGAUGAUGGAGAUGCCUAUAAACAUCACCUUUUUAGAUAAAGACAUAAAAUAAUAUACUUUUAACUGUACUCAGCUGAGCCAAACUCCUGGAAUCCAGUUGUAGAGAGGGAGGAGUAAUGAGCAAUGGAAUCAAGACCAGGCUGGUGAAACCCACAGAAACAGCUAACCUGAACAAGGGAGCUCAUGGUCCCCAGACUGACAGCUGGGAAACCAGCACAGGACUGAAUGUGGGUGUUAGUUAGGAGGUCUGGGCAGUCUAUGGGGCCUCUGGUCAUGGAACACUAUUUAUCCCUAGAGCAUGAAUGGAAUUUGGGAGCCCAUUCCCCAUAUAGGGAUACUCUCUCAGCCUAGACACAUGGGGGAGGGUCUAGGCCCUGAUCCAAAUGAUAUGACAG
rnacentral:lncRNA from 1 species